UAGCACCCUUCGGCUUCAGAGAAGCUCCAGCCCUGUUGUCACCAAGCAGGUUCCCCCUAGGCAGAGCGCCAAGAAGCAGCCCAGGCGAUCCCAAGGCGCACAAGUGCUCUCACCAGGCUGCGCGCUGGCGGGUCGGUGCACAGGGACGGGGUCGCCGCCCACGCGCGCUUGGUUCAGGGAGCCCAGGCUGUCCCUACCCGCGGCUACAAAAGCUCGCCGAGUCUUCCUGUCCACCCAAUCGCCCCACAUGUCAGCGGUUGGUCGCCUCGCGGUGCAGUGCUGGGCACGCGAGCCCCUCCCGCAGUCAUUCUCAGCACAAGCACCAGCCUGGAGCCCCGCAGCGACAGAGCUGAGAGCCCCCAAGCCGCAGAGGUCGUGCGGAGCAGAUUUGAUUAAGUGAAACAAAGCCCCAGCUGCUGGAGCAGAGGUUCCACUUGGGUUCCACAGACACCCACAGCCCAAAUCCCUGGAGGCCUAAGGCAAUAGCUAAUUGAGACUAUGCAUCACUAUUAAGGCAUCUUCACUAAAGGGCGCUGUGGAAACGCUGCCUGAGAUGCAGACACCUGUCAGAAGGGGGCUAAAUUUCAAACAAGGAACGUGGUGUUGCAUCACAAUAAAGUAGAUUCUAGUAUUACCUUCCUUUUUCAGAAGAGGAGACCAAUGGGGAGCAUUGGAAUGAUUUGGUUGCAAGCAUACUACACUACUUGUAAACUGCAGACACAGGCUUAAAAAAAGUGAAAAACUAACCAUGCAAUAAAGAAUGGAAUGAACCAUGAAGCUGUUUCUGUGGCCAGUCAUGUUUUUGAAGCAUAUCCCAUGCUAAUUUCUAGAACAGAAGAAACACACGUGUUCUUGUGUGUAAACCCAGUCCAUGGAAGAGACCGUCUGCUUGUCCCUCCUGAUCUCUGGGCCCAGACAACCAGUAGUCACCAUUCCAAGUGAGGGGUGGCUGCAACUCUACAGCCCCGUUCGUCUCUCCUCACUGUCAAAGCUGCUGAGACCCCAGACUCGACACUUGAAAGAAACCCAUGUCUGUGAAGCACUUGUGGACCAUUCAAGAUUGUGGAAGAAUCACUCAAGAGAAGGAGAUAGCAAUAUUUGCAGAUAUGCAAACUGGCCCCUUGCAUGCACAUCCUGGAGCACGUCCUGGAGCCUUUAGAGGUGAGUGAGAAGGAGACGGCUGCUGCUGUUCCAGUCUCUCCUUAGGCAGACUUGAGUUUCUACCCACUCUUCCCAAGCAGCCGCCCCUCCGCACCCGAGCGAGCCAAAGACCUGGCGGGCUGAGUACUCACUGCGCGCUGGACACAUGCUGAGCCGGCACUGCAGGGACACAGGGCGAGCCGCUGGAUGCAGACCUGUGGCCGCGGCAGUUGGGCUUAUCUUGCCCAUGAAGUUGCCUCUGAAGAACCAAGUCCAACUGUGUAUGCUGAGAGAUGUCUGGCUACUUCCUGAUUGACAGUUCUGGCAAGGUGGCAUUGGGCCCUGGCUUUUCCUCUGGAGGCAUCAUCACUUAUAGGAAAAUGUCCCCUGAAGUCCAAGGAUCAAAGCUGCUGGAACACUGAGAAGCUGAACAAAGGAGAACUGUUUCUCAUCAAACCCAGACUUCCAGACUUCCAAUAGGGUAGAAUGAGCAAGUCAGCAAAUCAUCUUCCUUGGAAACAGUGAUAAAACUAGAUGACAUUGUCAACAACAGCCAUUUCAGAAAUCUAGAAAAUGACCAAAGGCAAACAACAAACUGAGAAGCAUUUUUUUUUCCAUGAAAAAUCGCUCUAUUUCUGCAAAAAUAGUGGGAGUCUAUGGCUUCUCAUCCAGGGCUGUUUCUCUCCCCACCCCAGCUCAGUCAGUACAAAGGUUCUGGCAGCAUGAGGCAGACUGAACAGACCUGAAGUUUGAUUGCUGGAAGAAACUGACUCCAGGUUUGGCAGAGGGUGAGAAACCUACUCCCAGCCAUGUUGUCUGGUGACACAGUGACCUUAGGGACAAGUGAAUAGGGAAGGCCAGUGAUUCAUUAACCUGAGGUUGCAGUCCUGGUUGGGGAAAGCAUCAGAAUGGCAGAUAAGCUAGAAAUUUAGUAGGGAUAUGCUGGAAAUGAGACAACCCCAAAGGGGCUUGACCCCAAAGUUGUCCACACACCCCAGCUGCCUUCUGAGCAGAUGUAGGGAGAGACCAGAGAAGGCCUAGGCUAUCCACACAUCUCUGGCUAACCCAGGCUGUAAACCUGUGGAGGAGACACAAGAGGUGGAUUGAUUGCUAAUGGGCAUAUGGGGGAUCUUACUGGUUGAUAGGAACAUUCUCAAAUUGGAUUGUGGUGAUGCUUGCACAACUCUAAGUUUAUCCCAAAUUGCUAAAUUUUACACUAAAAAGGGGUGAACUUUAGGGUAUAUAAAUUAUACAUCAAUAAAGUUGUCAUAAA
rnacentral:lncRNA from 1 species